rnacentral:lncRNA from 1 species
UUCGACUAAAGGUCGAAAAUUUAUAAAUACAGAGAUAUUUAGAGUUUUGCUAGAAUACUAUAAGUAAUAAACGCGUCGUUUUACUACUUAUUUAUUUUCGAUGAUAGAGAUUCUAAAUUGACGAUCAGUUUUGUUGAACAUGAUCUAUACUACUUGAAGUGUUUAGAAAUCAAAUUUCAAAUCUUUUCGACAUCAUUUGCCUAAUGAGUAAAGGGUUUUAAAAUUUGUAAUUUUAAUGGUCAAUAAGAGACGUUUUCUCAUUUAACGACGUAAAGAUAUUCAAAUCAAUUGAAUUUUUGUUCGAAAAUUCUUUAAACUAUUUAAAACAAGAUCUAUACUCUUGAUCUUGAUUCUAAGACUUCUAUCAUCAUUUUUUAAAGAAUAUUUAUUUUCAGCCAUUCAUUUUUCUGUUCACUUGAUGGAUAAAAGAACAAUAUCGAAAGUACGUGAAAUUUGAUUUCUAGAUAGUUUAAAUGGUUUAGAUCAUAUUUAACGGAGCCGAUCGUCAAUUUGGAAUCUCUAUCAUCGAAAACAAAUAGAUAGUAAAACGGCUCCUUUACUACUGAUGGUAUUCUAGCUCAACUCGAGAUAUCUAAAUUAUUCAUAAGAAUAUAAUAGUCCAAAUCUAUAUAUACAUAUAAAUACAAAAAAUCUAUAUUAUUUAUAAAAAUAUAAUAGUCCAUAGAUUAAAUAUAUAUAUAUAUAUAUAUAUAUAUAUAUAGAAUUGAGCUCCUAUGCUUUUAAAAGUACCAAGUUAUUGGUACUUGUAGAUUUUUAGCCGUUGGAUUAAGGGAUGUGCGGUUAGGAUAAUGUGAGCCUCCUAGGGUUGAGUGGGUGGUUGGUUAAAUAGUAUAAUCUAGCAGUUAAAAAUGAUCAGAGGAGUAAAUCUAAUGGUAAAAAAUUUACAAGCACCAAAUGCUUGGUGCUUUUACAAGCACCAUAGCCGAACUCUCUCUCUCUCUCUCUCUCUCUCUCGCUAUAUAUAUAUAUAUAUAGAGUAGGGCUAGAAUACUUUUACAAGUAUCACCCAAGUGAUACUUGUGUGUUUUUAGCCAUUGGAUCUACUUUUUGAUUACUAAUAGUCCUUGGAUCAAACACUAUUCCACCUACCACCAUCAUCUCAACCUCACAUCUCUCCAUCCAAGGGCUAAAAACACACAAGUAUCACUUGGGUAAUACUUUUACAAAUAUUCUAGCUCUACUCUCUCUUUCUCUCUCUCUCUCUCUCUCUCUCUCUCUCUCUAUAUAUAUAUAUAUAUAUGUAUAAUUGAGUUGCUAUAUUUUUAGAAAUAUCAAGUCAUUGGUACUUAUAGGUCUUCAGUUUUUAAAUUAAUAAUGUGCCUUUAGGAUGAUAGUGGUCUUAUAAAUUUGAGUAGGUGCGUGGUUGAUUAACUAGUAAUAUCCAACUGGUAAAAAUAGUUAAAAGAGUAGAUCUAACAGUGAAAAAUUUAUAAGCACCAGAUAUUUGAUGCUUGUAAAAGCACCGUAAUGGAAUUCUCCCCAUAUAU